GGUUAAGCAACUAGCGUACACGGUGGAUACCACGGCAGUCAGAGGCGAUGAAGAGGCGUGCUAAUCUGCGAUAGCGCCGGCCGAAAGGUGAUAUGAACCGUUACAUAACCGAAGCACGAUACCCGGAAUAGGAAGCGAAAGUGUGACUCGUCACACUAUCAUUAACUGAAUCCAUAUAGGUUAAUGAGGCGAACGGGGAACUGAAGCAUCUAAGUACCGAGGAAAGAAAUCCCGGCAAAGAUUCCCCCAGUAGCGGCGAGCGAGCGAGGGAGCUGAGCCUGAAUCAGCAUGUGUGUUAGUAGGCGUCUGGAAGGCGCGCGAUACGGUGACCCCGUACACAAAAGCGCAUGUGCUGUGAGCUCGUGAGGGCGGGACACGUGGUAUCCUGUCACGAAUAUGGGGGACCAUCCUCCAAGGCUAAAUACUCUGACGACCGAUAGUGAACCAGUACCGUGAGGGAAGAGGCGAACGGCGAGGGUGAAAAGACCUGAAGGCAAGUGUACGUAUUACAAGCAGUGGGAGCCCCACCGCAAAGCGUUUCGCUUUUGUGUGAAUUGCACAAAAAGCGUAACGACAGCACUGAAUGACGGUUAGCAGGCGCAGCGACGUUCAACAUAAGAAUCAAGCAGUGGAAGGCGCUUUGGGGUAAAAUUUGACUGCAUACCUUUGUAUAAUGGGUCCAGCGACUUAUAUUCUGCUUAGCAAGGUUAACCGAAUAGAGGAGCCGGAGAAGCAGAAUACGGGCGUUAAGAUUUGCAGGGUACCAGGCCGAAACCCGUGAUCUAGCCAUGGGCAGGUUGAAGGUUGGCAGGUAACUCUAGCACAGAGGACCGAACCGACUAUGUUGAAAUUAGCAGAUGACCUGUGGCUGAGGGUGAAAGGCCCAAUCAAACCGGGAAGAUAGCCUGGUUCUCCCCGAAAGCUGGCUGGUAGCGCACUCGUGAAUUCAUCUCCGAGGGUAGAAACUGUUCAGCUGAGGGCCAUCCCAGCUUACCAACCCGAUGCAAACUGCGGAAUACCGGAGAAUGUUAUCACAGGGAGACGCACACGGCGAAGGUGCUAACGUCCGUCGAAGAGGAAACAACCCAGACCGCCAGCUAAGGUCCCAAAGUCGCUGGUUAAGUGGGAAACGAUGUGGGAAGGCCCAGACAGCCCGGGGAUGUUGGCCGGCAACCAUCAUUUAAAAGCAUGUAAACUCACUGGUGAGUCGGCGCUGCGCGGAAGUGUAACGAGGGCUAAACCAUGCACCGAAGCUGCAGCAGCGACGCUUAUACGUUGUUGGGUAGGGAGCGUUCUGCAGCAAGCGCAGAAGGUGGCCUGUGAGGGUUGCUGGAGGUAUCCAGAAGUGCGAAUGCUGACGCAAAGUAACGAUAAAGCGGGUGGCGCUUUCGCCGGAAGACCAAGGGUUUUAAUCCAGCGUUAAUCGGGGCAGGAGUCGACUAAAGGCGAGGCCGAAGGCGUAGUCGAUGAAACGAGUUAAUAUUCCCGUACUUGAAUUAUUCUGAAAGGGGACGGAGAGAGGCUAUGUUGGCCGAGCGACAUUUGUCCCAGUUUAAGCGAUGUAGGUGUGUAUUCGAGCAGAAAUCGAUUCACUUUAACGAGGCGGCGUGAUGACGAGGCACUACGGUACUGAAACUUGGCGAAAUGCCCUGCUUCGGGGAAAAACCUCUAAGCAUCAGGUAACAUCAAAUCGUACCCCAAACCGACACAGGUGGUCAGGUAAGAAUACCAAAGGCGCUUGAAGAACUCAGGUAGCGAAAGGAACUGAGCAAAAUGGUGCCGUAACUUCAGGAGAAGAGCACGCUGAUAUAUGAAGUGAAGCGGUUUUGCCGUGAGCUGAAAUCAGUCGAAAGAUACCAGCUGGCUGCAACUGUUUAUUAAAACACAGCACUGUGCAAACACGAAAGGAAGUGGACGUAUACGGUGUGACGCAUACUGCGGUGCCGGAAGAGGUUAAUUGAUGAGGGUCAGCGCAAAGCGAAGCUCUGAUCGAAGCCCCGGUAAACGGCGGCCGUAACCUGGCACGGUCCUAAGGUAGCGAAAUUCACUUGUCGGGCCCAAGUUCGACCUGCAGAUAGCGUAAUGAUGGCGAGCUGUCUCCCACCCGAGACUCCAGUGAGAGUGAACUCGCUGUGAAGAUGCAGUGUGCCGCGGCAAGACGGAAAGACCCACCGUGAACCUUUACUAUGGCUUGACACUGGACAUUGAGCCUUGAUGUGUAGGAUAGGUGGGAGGCUUUUGGAAGCGUGGACGCCAGUCUGCGCGUGAAUUGACAGCGAAAUACCACCGCUUUAAUGUUUGAUGUUCUAACGUGGACCCGUGAUCCGGGUUGCGGACGGUGUCUGGUGGGUAGUUUGACUGGGGCCGGUCUCCUCUAAAGGUAACGGGAGGCAGUUCAGCUAAUCUGGUCGGACAUCAGGAGGUUAGUGCACAAUGGCAUAAGCCAGCUUGACUGCGGAAGCGCGUGACGGCGCGAGCAGUGCAGCAGGUCAUAGUGAUCAGUGGUUCUGAAUGGAAGGGCCAUCGCUCAACGGAUACAAAGGUACUCCGGGGAUAACAGGCUGAUACCGCCAAAAGGUUCAUAUCGACGGCGGUGUUUGGCACCCUCGAUGUCGGCUCAUCAUCCACGGGGCUGAAGUGGUCCCAAAGGAGUAUGGCUGUUCGCCAUUUGUUAAAGUGGUACGCGAGCUGGGUUUAGAACGUCGUGAGACAGUUCGGUCCCUAUCUGCCGUGGGCGCUGGAGAACUGAGGGCUGCUCUAGUGCAGAGGACCGGGUGGACGCAUCACUGGUGUUCGGGUUGUCAUGCCAAUGGCACUGCCCGGUAGCUAAAUGCGGAAGAGAUAAGUGCUGAAAGCAUCUAGGCACGAAACUUGCCCCGAGAUAGGUUCUCCCUGAGACUUUAGGUCUCCUGAAGGAACGUUAGCGAAGACGACGACGUUGAUAGGCCGGGUGUGUAAGCGCGGCGAUGCGUUAAAACUAACCGGUACUAAUGAACCAUUGAGGCUUAACCUU
rnacentral:rRNA from 1 species